UACGAGGGGGGCAAGCGUUGUUCGGAAUUAUUGGGCGUAAAGGGCGCGUAGGCGGUUUGACAAGUCUGAUGUGAAAUCUCUGGGCUCAACCCAGAGUCUGCAUUAGAAACUGUCGGGCUUGAGUAUGGGAGAGGUGAGUGGAAUUUCCGGUGUAGCGGUGAAAUGCGUAGAUAUCUGGAGGAACACCGGUGGCGAAGGCGGCAUCCUGGACCGGCAUUGACGCUGAGGCGCGAAAGCUAGGGGAGCAAACGGGG
rnacentral:rRNA from 1 species